AUCCAAUUGACGAGUCCCAAAUAGAACGAAAUGCGCAUCCUGGAU
rnacentral:hammerhead_ribozyme from 1 species